rnacentral:rRNA from 1 species
ACGGGUGAGUAACACGUGACUAACCUACCCUGGAGUGGGGGAUAACUGAGGGAAACCUUAGCUAAUACCGCAUAACACCUACGGGUCAAAGGAGCAAUUCGCUUCAGGAGGGGGUCGCGGCCGAUUAGUUAGUUGGCAGGGUAAUGGCCUACCAAGACGAUGAUCGGUAUCCGGCCUGAGAGGGCGCACGGACACACUGGAACUGAAACACGGUCCAGACUCCUACGGGAGGCAGCAGUGGGGAAUUUUGCGCAAUGGGGGAAACCCUGACGCAGCAACGCCGCGUGGAGGAUGAAGUCCUUCGGGACGUAAACUCCUUUCGAUCGGGACGAUUAUGACGGUACCGGAAGAAGAAGCCCCGGCUAACUUCGUGCCAACAGCCGCGG